AAGAAGAGAGAGGCUGAGGGAGCCAGAGCUGCGGGAGUGUUGGCUCCACUGGCUCCUCUCCGCGGUCUCUCUGACUCUGCUGUUGCUCCUCUCCGUGCUCCUCUGGGUCUGUCCUCUGGCCUGCAGCCAAUCAGAGCAGCUAUUGGGGCUCCCGUGUUAAGUGCCGCUGCUGUCAGGAGUGUUCAAGAUGAGGAAGAGGAGGACAUUUCAGAGGAAGAGAGGCCUCAGGAUUCAGCCGGAUUGCUGAAGAAUCUCCAUCUGGAUCUGGAUGCUCUCGGAGCUGGACUGCAGUAUGAGGACAGUGAGAUCAGUGGGACGGUUCCACCUGAAGAAAGAACAGAACCUGAACUGCAGGAUUUGGCCUUAUCGAGGGAUCACAGCGCAGAGCCGCCUUCAGAGGUGCACCAGUGUCCGUCUGUCUGUCUGCACUGCAAACACUGCUGUUCUUACUCUCGUUACUGAUCCAAAUGUCCAAAAACUCUUAAAUCAGCCAGCAUU